GACGAACCGUGCGAACGUUGUUCGGAAUCACUGGGCUUAAAGGGCGCGUAGGCGGGUGUCCAAGUCAGGGGUGAAAUCCUCCAGCUUAACUGGAGAACUGCCUGUGAUACUGGACGUCUGGAGUGAGGUAGGGGCAUGUGGAACUUCCGGUGGAGCGGUGAAAUGCGUAGAUAUCGGGAGGAACACCAGUGGCGAAGGCGACUACCUGGCCUGUUCUUGACGCUGAGGCGCGAAAGCUAGGGGAGCAAACGGG
rnacentral:rRNA from 1 species